rnacentral:rRNA from 2 species
CUGGCUCAGGACGAACGCUGGCGGCGUGCCUAAUACAUGCAAGUCGAGCGGACAGAUGGGAGCUUGCUCCCUGAUGUUAGCGGCGGACGGGUGAGUAACACGUGGGUAACCUGCCUGUAAGACUGGGAUAACUCCGGGAAACCGGGGCUAAUACCGGAUGCUUGAUUGAACCGCAUGGUUCAAUUAUAAAAGGUGGCUUUUAGCUACCACUUACAGAUGGACCCGCGGCGCAUUAGCUAGUUGGUGAGGUAACGGCUCACCAAGGCAACGAUGCGUAGCCGACCUGAGAGGGUGAUCGGCCACACUGGGACUGAGACACGGCCCAGACUCCUACGGGAGGCAGCAGUAGGGAAUCUUCCGCAAUGGACGAAAGUCUGACGGAGCAACGCCGCGUGAGUGAUGAAGGUUUUCGGAUCGUAAAACUCUGUUGUUAGGGAAGAACAAGUACCGUUCGAAUAGGGCGGUACCUUGACGGUACCUAACCAGAAAGCCACGGCUAACUACGUGCCAGCAGCCGCGGUAAUACGUAGGUGGCAAGCGUUGUCCGGAAUUAUUGGGCGUAAAGCGCGCGCAGGCGGUUUCUUAAGUCUGAUGUGAAAGCCCCCGGCUCAACCGGGGAGGGUCAUUGGAAACUGGGGAACUUGAGUGCAGAAGAGGAGAGUGGAAUUCCACGUGUAGCGGUGAAAUGCGUAGAGAUGUGGAGGAACACCAGUGGCGAAGGCGACUCUCUGGUCUGUAACUGACGCUGAGGCGCGAAAGCGUGGGGAGCGAACAGGAUUAGAUACCCUGGUAGUCCACGCCGUAAACGAUGAGUGCUAAGUGUUAAGAGG